CCACCACCAAAGCAUUCUCUGGUGUUGAAGGCCCUGCAAAGCAGCAUCGCGGUGGCGGAGCGUCGUUUGCGACGCCCAACACACAAAACAAGCGGUGAGUGCUUUGGGGUGGGGUGACUGCGUACCUUUUGUAUAAUGGGUCAGCGACUUAUAUUCUGUAGCAAGGUUAACCGAAUAGGGGAGCCGGAGGGAAACCGAGUCUUAAUUGGGCGUUAAGUUGCAGGGUAUAGACCCGAAACCCGGUGAUCUAGCCAUGGGCAGGUUGAAGGUUGGGUAACACUAACUGGAGGACCGAACCGACUAAUGUUGAAAAAUUAGCGGAUGACCUGUGGCUGGGGGUGAAAGGCCAAUCAAACCGGGAGAUAGCUGGUUCUCCCCGAAAGCUAUUUAGGUAGCGCCUCGUGAAUUCAUCUCCGGGGGUAGAGCACUGUUUCGGCUAGGGGGCCAUCCCGGCUUACCAACCCGAUGCAAACUGCGAAUACCGGAGAAUGUUAUCACGGGAGACACACGGCGGGUGCUAACGUCCGUCGUGAAGAGGGAAACAACCCAGACCGCCAGCUAAGGUCCCAAAGUCAUGGUUAAGUGGGAAACGAUGUGGGAAGGCCCAGACAGCCAGGAUGUUGGCUUAGAAGCAGCCAUCAUUUAAAGAAAGCGUAAUAGCUCACUGGUCGAGUCGGCCUGCGCGGAAGAUGUAACGGGGCUAAACCAUGCACCGAAGCUGCGGCAGCGAACGUAUCACUUAAAGCGAUUCAGCGGGUUACGAUUGACGGAGCGAAGCGACGUCAAAGCGUAUACAAAGUCGAGUCGGUUUAAGGAUACGUUCGUUGGGUAGGGGAGCGUUCUGUAAGCCUGUGAAGGUGUGUCGUGAGGCAUGCUGGAGGUAUCAGAAGUGCGAAUGCUGACAUAAGUAACGAUAAAGCGGGUGAAAAGCCCGCUCGCCGGAAGACCAAGGGUUCCUGUCCAACGUUAAUCGGGGCAGGGUGAGUCGACCCCUAAGGCGAGGCCGAAAGGCGUAGUCGAUGGGAAACGGGUUAAUAUUCCCGUACUUGGUGUUACUGCGAAGGGGGGACGGAGAAGGCUAUGUUGGCCGGGCGACGGUUGUCCCGGUUUAAGCGUGUAGGUGUGUGUUCCAGGUAAAUCCGGUUCACUUUAACACUGAGGCGUGAUGACGAGGCACUACGGUGCUGAAGCAACAAAUGCCCUGCUUCCAGGAAAAGCCUCUAAGCAUCAGGUAACAUCAAAUCGUACCCCAAACCGACACAGGUGGUCAGGUAGAGAAUACCAAGGCGCUUGAGAGAACUCGGGUGAAGGAACUAGGCAAAAUGGUGCCGUAACUUCGGGAGAAGGCACGCUGACAUGUAGGUGAAGUGAUUUACUCAUGGAGCUGAAGUCAGUCGAAGAUACCAG
rnacentral:rRNA from 1 species